rnacentral:lncRNA from 1 species
UGGCUGUGUGUCCCCCCUGAGACUGGGCUCCCGGAGGGUGAGGCCCGUCCCCUGGCUCUGUUUCCCCAGCACUUCCCCGCCCUCCAGCCUGAGGUGACAGGGAAGUUACAGUCCUGGACCAGGAGAUGGGAUCAGGGAGGGGCCGCCUCACCCAUCUGGCCCAGCCCGUGAGAAAGUCCCUCCAGCUUCCCUCCCACCCUGAAGGCCCUCUUCCUCCUCUUCCUCCUCUGCCUCCUCUGCCUCGUCUCCCGUUACCUGGGCCUUCAUUACUCAGCAGUGCCUCUGGAAGAAAAUGCACAGGGGCCCCCAUCCCCUGCCUGCACGCCGCCGUGGGCAGAACCUUCUCUGCCGUCCAGGCUUCUCAGAGUUCAAGCACAGAGGGGGCAGCACGGGGACCUGGGCCACCGAACCUCCUCUGGUCCUGCCACCGGAGGGCGAAUGCCGGAGCGAAGAGGGCCAGAGAAGCAUGAAGCUCGCGAGGGUCAUCCGUGCGAUGUGAUCCCACAGUCGUAUCAAAUGAAUACACGUCACGGCGGGAAAAGAUUAAUGACCUGACGGACCAAGACUACGUGUCGCAAACCGGACCUGUUUGUGCGCCGCUGGAGGGGAGUAAACCGCUAGGCACAUUUGGGAAGAAUGGUGUCGAGGGCGUCUGGGCGGCUCGGUCGAUUGAGCGUCUGACUUUUGAUUUCGGCCCAGGUCAUGAUCUCACAGUUCAUGAGAUCAAGCCCCACAUCAGGCUCUGUGCUGACAGUAAUGAGCCUGCUUGGGAUUCUCUCUCUCUCUCUCUCUCUGCCCCUCCCCUGCUCACCCUCUCUGUCUCUCAAGAUACAUAAACAUAAAACAAUUGGGGCGCCUGGGUGGCUCAGUCGGUUGAGCGUCCGACUUCGGCUCAGGUCAUGAUCUCACAGCUUGUGAGUUCGAGCCCCGCGUCGGGCUCUGUGCUGACAGCCCAGAGCCUGAAGCCUGCUUCUGCUUCUGUGUCUCCCUCUCUCUCUGCCCCUAACCCACUCACAUUCUGUCUCUGUCUCUCUCAAAAAUAAAUAAACAUUAAAAAAAAAUUUUUUUUUAAAA